AGAGCAUGCCAGAGUAGAGAAACUGCCCUUAAGAUCCUAUGAGGCGAAAAUAGUUCUACCACAUUCUACGCAUUCUACGUGUACUUACUGCACUUAUAUCGCACCAAUAUUGCUAAAACUCAUCAUCUUUGUUCCUGAUUCCCUAUCCUGAUGAUGUUACCAAUAAAGAAAGUUAUUUUCGUA